GUACCCUUGUACAAUUCAGAACACACUGGAAACGUUAGCUUGCCAAUCCCGGGUCAUAGUGUGAAUGCAUGGACUGAUCAGCGCUGAAAUCUCCUUUGUUGGAGAUACUCAGCCUUACGUCAUGAAUGAUAAUAGGUGAGCGUACCGUACCGCUAAGUCUGGCUAACACAUCCCGCAUUCUGGAGCGACUGGUCUGACCAGCGUUGAAAUCUCCGAUGUUAACGACACAGGGCUUACAUCAUGAAUUGUAGCAGAUAUCGUCGCAUGAAAGCUGUGCAUAUGCCCAAGAAGAACCAGAUCUAUGGUGCGGAUGGGAACAGCGCCCUCACCUCCUUCAAUCUGGAGAGAAGCACGUUGGAGGACAAGAUCCCACAGAACGUCCCGGGGACGAUUUACGCAAAGGAGAGGGAGUAACUAAGAUUGAUGCCAGUCCUCGCCUGUGUCACUGAGGAAGAGUUUCCACAUCAGGAUCUCAAGCAGUGGUUCAUGCAGGCAAGGAAAAGACUGCAGUUCCUUGUUACCACCUUACAGUGACGUAAAUCUGUGCUGGGGACGAGGGGAUGAUUUGUUUGGGGAUCGGUUACUGGACUCUACUGGACACUGGGAGUGCCAUUCGUGGUGCGAUAUGCACCAUAUUUAUACAAGUAAACCUGUGUGGGAAACCUGCCGAUGACUUGAACAUUAAAAUUAAAAAAACAACGAUCUGUGAAAAUUUGGAGGGGGGGGCAUCUCUGGACACUGAGGGCGCUGUUCAAAAUGCUUAAACCACUUCAUCUUACAUCAAAACAAAAUGGGCUGCACUCCCAUUUCUUGCACCACUGAAUACAUUUGGGCUGUAGGGAAGCUUGGGAAAUACCUCGAAACUUGCCUUUUUUGUCACAGCUCAAAAUUGUCGGAGGGGUGUAAUCCAAUGAGAGCAUCCCCCAUCAAAAAGGGAAGGGCGGUUACACAGUCGAACCCCUUUAAUGAGACCACUGCAUUAAAAUCUGCUGGUACCACAAUAUUUUAGGUUCCAGUCAUUUUGUUCUUGUUUUCAUUCGUGUUAAUACAAGAUUCCUGUUAUAAUAAGAUAAUCUGCUAACUCUGAAGGACCUCUUACUGAGAAGGUUCAACAACCCCCCCCCACAGAUUUACGCCCCUGCCACCCUCAUGAUGGAGAAGGUCUCUGUGCAUUUGUAGUGGAAAAGAGUUCCAUACAAACCAUGUGCACAAACUCUACUAGGUGAAGCCAGGAAAUUCCAAGUUUUAAAUGCUUUCAUAUUUUCCCUGCAAAAUUUGAAUUGUUAGGACUGUAUUGCUUCCCGAUGGCUAAUUGACCUGUUCCAAAUUAGCAGUGUUGGUGUAUGGAACUCUUUCCAUUAUUAAUACUUUCUCCCAAAUUCAUGACUGAAAAAGUUAUUUUCCUAUUCAAAAUAUUAAAGUACUUGGUCAGAUUGCAAGUAUCAACAACCACUCCAAGUAAUGUUAUCAUGACACAUUUUCUCUCAUGUUUGUGCAUAUUUCUUGCUUCUAAAACAUUUUUGGGGAGUCGGGUUAGUGUGAUAGCUCUUUCCUCAUCUUCCACCGCAGCGGCCAGGGUUCGAAUCCUACCAAAGCCCACAACCUCUAAAAACUGAGGAUUUAUUUUCCUCUUCUUGCCCUUCAUAUUCAUCCUGUAAUAAGCGCUGAACGUUCAUUGGAUGAAUAGAUACAGCAAAAAUAACAGUAGAGUCAUUUAUGAAUAGCAGCCAUGUUCAAGUAAUCUCCAUGGAAUAAUUUUCAAUAGACCAUCAUCAACUGCAGCCAGUACAAGGAGAUAUUAUCACAGUUGCACAGCCAUUUUUUUCAUGGGCGAUGGGGAUAUUAAAUUUUUACAAUUGGGAUGAAAAACCGAAAUAAAUAUUUAAGGGGGAAAGUGGAGGAAUCAAGUAGGGACCAAAAACCCAAUCCACGUGUCAGCUCAGACAAGAUUUGAGCCUGGGUCACUUAGGUGGUAGGCGAGGGAAGUAUCAAAAUGCCAACCUGACUCCCCAAAAUGAACUCAUUAGGUUAUCACGAUGCUGUACUUCAGAAACUCUAAUUCGUUGGGUCUGUGAUAAAAGGUCCUCUCUGAAGAAUUGCAUUAAACGGUCCUUAUUGAACAAGACUAUUCUAUUAAACAAAUAAUAAUAUUAAAUAAAUAAUAAUAAAUAAAUAAAAGAAAAAAACGCAUCCUGUGUGUUACAAUACAACCCAGAUAAAUAUUCAAGGGGGAAAGUUGAGGAAUCAAGUAGGGACCAAAACCCAAUCUUCGUGCUCAGAGUAUGGCCCUUGGAUUUUUUUUUUUAAAUUGCUGUAACGACCUUUUAGCACUGACCCGACGAAUUUGUACCAUAAAAACAGUCCCCAUCAGGAAGACUACAAUCAAGGGCACUAGGAAAUUUCACUGCAUGCUUUUAAAAGGUGAACAGUGUUUUGCACAUUUAAAAUCUCCCUUUUCCCCAUUCAGACAAAAUACCAGUUCUGUCGCCCAUUAACCAUGAUGAGCCCACCCAGUGGCCAUUCCAAACCUCACUGUUACAAGUUUGUCAUCACCCCCUGGAAAUGGUUCUCUGUGGCCUUGUAUUUUCCUAGUGCAAGUCUUUUAAUUAUUAGCCUUUCCAAUUUUAAUUAUCUCAAAUUUUAAAUCAGAAAUUUGCUUGGUUUGCACAUUUUUAGCUUGCUGUGGAAAUAUGCCUUUCCAGGGGUAUUUAUCAAACUUUUACUAUGUAUCCGAACCUUUUCAAUCAUUCUGUUUUUUUUAUGAAAUAAAUGUUUAAACUAACAGAA
rnacentral:lncRNA from 1 species